GUGAUUAUUGUUUCUUGGAAAGAAUGCAAAAUCACGCAUUGGGGGUUUCCAAGCUCUUAUUCUUUUCAUUAAUAUAGGAUUGAACAAGUAAGAUAAACUACGGAUGAAAUAGCAGGUCUAACCAGCUCUCCUCGUACAUGAGGGUCCCCAAAGACAUGCAUCGGGCAUGUAUCUGAUUAGCAUAAGAUAGCCUUUGGCAACACUUAAUGAUUGUGGAGCUACUGAAGGACCUAAUGCACUGCUAUUCUUGAGCAUGGUUAUCUGAUAUUUUAUCAAGUGUUAUACAAAGUGCAAUUUUUUUUUCUUCUGAAGACACAAAAGAAUAUAUUGAUCACAAAUAGUGUGUGACGUAGUUCCAGAGCAAUGUCAAGUUCCUUCUUUUUCUGUUCCUUUUAUUUAUAUUGUUUCUGUCUUUAGCUUUACAACUUAUAAUCAUCAAUGCUUUUUUUUAUACUUGAAUGCUACCAAGAAUUUUACAACGUUUUCAUUUUUUGUGUUUUUAUUGUUCAAUAGACAGAUUCUCAGUUUCUGAAGGUGGCCUCUUGUGCUUCAAUCUAUGAUUUAUUCUCGAGGUACAUCUUCAUUUGACCUUGGCAGAAAUCUAUCACACGAAGUUGUCCCUCAAACACAACCCUUUUUUUUAUUCGAAAUGGUAACAAUGUCAUUGAUAAGAUGAAAUUAUAAAAGGAUACCUAUCAAUUGGAUUACAAAAAACUCUUCCAUCGAGUAAUAAGAGAAACUAAAUCAUAAUUAUAAAAAGGGGUAACCAAUUCACCCCAAGUGAGGGUUGUAUGUGUCACUCAAACACAAAUUGAUUUGUUAACUAUACCCCUUCCAAAAGCGAAAUUUUUAUGUGCCUUGUGUAUAUUUAACUGAAUACCUCUUAGGAUUUGUUUAUUGUUGAUUCUACAUCGACUUUGUGGUCUGUGGAUUCAACUAUUGAAUGCUGACUUGAGAAUAAUAGAUAACUGAUUGAAUCACAUUCUGUAAGUUAUUACUGUCAAGUCGUUUUAUUGCCAAUAUGAGCAUAGAACUAUUGGUUAAGGCAUAUAUCCCACCUCCAUAUGUUGUUGAGCUUAAAAAUAAAAAUUGUCUAUUUAUUUAUUUUUUAAAAUAAAAUAACCACUUUCAUUGAGCAAAAUCAAAGAAAAUUGUCUAAAACUUUUAAGCAAUAUGCUUGACCAUAUUAUUGCUUGUUUCGUGACUUUUUAAGAUGUAUCUUUUACAAAUUAGAUUGGGUAGAUUUCAAAGUGUAAAGAAAGAUGGGACUUCUUGUGCUGGGAAGGUCAUUCAACCUGUUGCAUGAUGAUAAUACUGAAGCUGUUUUGGUAAGUCCAUUUUUCAUGGACUAUUUUCAUGCAUUCAUGAGCUAAAUAAUUUUGUAACAAUGGUAUUUUAAUUAUCUAUGCCAACUGAGAUCCUCUUUUGUAAAAAUUUCUUAGUCUUUUGUGAAAUUUUUCAUCUCUCUUUUUGUACUUGCUUUGCUUGGUAUUUUGGUAGUUGCAACUUUUGUUUUAAAAUAUGUAACUAUCUGCAUGUUGUUUGAUGCAGGAUAAUGCGGUUAAUCUGUUAUGCACCUUGAUAGAUUUCUUCCCCUUCACAAUCCAUCGUCAUUAUGACUCUGUAAGUGCUUUAACAAAUAAUGUGAUAUUGAUUCUGUUUUAAAUUACAAUUUUGGAACUCUGGUAGCUUUCUGACUUUUCUGUUCACUGGUGAUGUAAUCUAAGCUUCCGAAGUUUGUUAUUAUUAUCGUUAUUAUUUUUAAUUUGAUUUAGUUUAAUUUUUUUUCCUUCAAAAAAAACUGCUAUAAAAAACUGGAAAGAGAGUGUUUGUAUUACCAUUAGAAGCUGAAAUAAUUAAAUUUUCUCCCAUAAUUGCACUCAACAUCUUCAGCACAUAUGGCUUCAUGCUGUCACUUGUCAGCAUGUUGUUUAUCUAUAGAUCACUAUCUUUGUAAUUCAAAAACUGACAAAGUUUAAAUUCCAUGCCAAAUAGAAAAAAAGGAUUUAUGUUGAAAUAGUUGAUUUUGUUUCUUCCUGAUGAAUUGGAUAUAUUCUAUAGGCCGAAGCUGCAAUUGUUUCAAAAAUAUUUUCAGGGAAGUGUAGUUCUAACAUGCUGAAGGUACUGUGCCUCUUAUGUAGUUUUAAUCAUAGUACAGUAGAUAUUAACGUCAAAUGUCCCCCAUAAUUUUCUCUGUGUUUUAUAUUUCAAAUUUAGAAGCUUGCCCAUUGCCUGGCAUCACUUCCAAAAUCAAAAGGAGACGAAGAUAGCUGGUCUUUACUAAUUCAGAAGAUUUUGUUAUCCAUCAAUAGUCACUUGAAUGAGGCCUUCCAAGGCAUCGGUGAAGGUAUACUGAACUGUAAAACAAGUAAAGCUAUCUCAAUUUAUGAAAAUGGUGACAAUGAUGCAUUUGAAUGUUUUUUGUAGAUUCAAAAGGCAUUGAAGUUGUAAGGUUACUGAUUCUACCAGGAAAAGAUCCUCCACCACCUUUAGGUUGUUGUUCACAAUCAGAAGGUUCCUUGGACAAAAAAAAAAGAGCUCAGAGCGGAUGUUAACAUCUAGUAUUUCAACCUUGAUGGUUUGCUGUUCCACAAUGAUAACAAGUUCAUACAACCAUCAGGUAGCAACACGUCAUCCAUUUUUUUGUUAUGCUCAUAUUAAAAGAGGAAAUGUUCCCCUCUAUAUGAAUCUAUAUACAUCUACUGUGACACCUCACUUUCUUAAUUAAUAUAAUGAAAUAAAGAAAGUGGUGUUAAAUUGAUCUUUAUUUGUAUUAUAUCAGGUGGCAGUUCCCAUUCGCCCGUUAUUAGCUCUUGUUGAGAGAGUGCUGACGAUGGAUGGUUCUUUGCCACCCACUUCAGUGCCAUUUAUGACAUCUCUGCAGCAAGAAUCAAUGUGUUUAGAACUUCCGGUGCUGCAUUCAGUCAGUUUGGAUCUCCUCGUUGCCAUCAUUAAGAGCCUUCGCAGGUGAGGCAUCUACUAUUCAACUACACGGACUAUAUACCAUAAAACCUUUAUGCAGACCCAGACUUUUUCAGUAAUCAAUACCCAUCCAUAAACAUAUCACAUGUGCUUUCUUCCACCUCUACAAGAUGCGAUCAACAAUGAUCUUUUAUGUUUAUAUGAAUACGAAAAUGAUCCAAUGGUAUACAAAGUUUCCACUUAGAUAAGUUGGGAAGAAAAUGUGUGAAGUCUAGCCUGUCAAUUGCCACUGAAAAAAAUAUGGAUGCCAUAUUUUUGUUUAUAUAAUUAUUAUUAAAUUCCUUUUCAGUCAAUUGUUGCCACAUGCUGCAUCAAUUGUACGACUCAUUGUGAAGUACUUCAAGAAGUGUGUCUCUGCAGAACUGAGAGUAAAAGUCUACGCAGUUGCUAAGUCAUUGAUGACGUCUUUGGGUGUUGGUAAGAAUUAUAUUGUGUUUCAUUUGGCAUGGAGAUAAUUAUAAUUAUUGUUUUAAUGUCUAUAUGGAAACAUUGUUUUGGGAUGUAUACUUAUUCAAUGCCGCAUUUGAAUCAGGAAUGGCUGCAUCUCUUUCUCGAGAUGUGAUUGACAAUGUACUAGGUGAUUUGAACCCUGUAAAUAAUGAGAGUUCUGAUCCAUCUAAUGUGAAUCCAAAGGACACGCAAAGAGAUUUACCGCAACACCAUAAUAAGAGAAAACGCCCUUCAGUUCCCACUUCCAUGAAAGGGCAGCACGAGAGGAAUGAACCAGAGGACAUUACCAGCAGCUGUAGCUAUACCUCAGUCCACUUGAGGAUAGCUGCACUUGAGGCUUUGAAGACUCUUCUUACAUCGGUGGGCAUUAUAUAUGUUAUUUGUCUCUUUGGUUAAUUAUUUUGCAUACGAAUUUAUUAAAAAAAGUUAUUAAUGGGAAUAUUUUUGGUUCAUUUGUGUCAAAUGGUUUUUAACUGCUGACUGCUUUAUUUAUUUAUUUGUUUGUUUGUUUUUCGUUGAUUAUUUGUAUAGGCUGGUGCUUUGAGAUCUGAAGAAGGAUGGCGUGCAAAAGUUGAACAUCUUUUAAUAACAACUGCAACAUCUUCUCUUCAAUGGCCACGAGCCUCGGACGACACCUUUUUCCAAGCCAAUGAAUCUAUUGAGGUUUGGGUGGAUUAUCAGUUGGCGGCAUUUCAUGCACUACUGGCUUCUUUUUUGUCUGCUGUCCAUGUACGCCCACUGGCUUUGGCUCAAGGUCUCGAGCUCUUUCGUAAAGGUAAAUCUCUUUUGAUAUUUCGUUUGAUCAUGUGGAAGGCUGGGUUUGAGAACGAGGAUGCUAGAUCACCUUAUUUAUGAGUCAAACUGAUAGGCAUUUUCUUCUUCAGGUAAACAAGAAAAUGGAACCAAACUUGGUGAGUUUUGUGCCCAUGCUCUCUUAGCCAUGGAGGUUCUAAUACAUCCGAGGGUCCUUCCCCUCUCGGAUUUCUUGCCAUUGCGCUUGAGCUCUCCUGAACCACAAGCUGCCUUUAAAUUCCAGGAAGAUCUGUACUUCAACAGUAACGAUUCUAGGAAAUUGUUGAAGGUCGGCCCGCAAAGCAUGGAGCAGAUGGCCUCCGAGGCUCUAAUUAGUGAUGAUGUGGUAGAUAACAAUGAAAUGACGUAUAGCACCUCAAAUGAUAUUGAAAAGGAGCCCUCUGCAAAUGGCAUAGCGAAUAUAGAAAUGCCCAAGAGAACCGAACAGGCCACUGCAGCAGCCAUCUCAGAAGUAGGGGUUGUAGCGGAAGAUGACGUUGAAUUUGCUAAUGCAAGUAUGAAUAGUUCCCCCAUGUCAUCAAAAUCAGAUAAAAUCGAAGAUUUUGGACGGGAUUCGAGCUCGAAUUUAUUGCUAGAAGAUGACUUUCCUGAUAUUAUUGAUGCAGAUCCUGAUACAGACUAUGAAGAGUGAAAAAGGUAUUGUCAAUCAUUGACUCAAUUUUGUAGUUUUAAGGCUUAAGGGUGUUGUUCAGAACUCAAAAUCAAUUAUUAUUGUUGUGUUCUAUUCAUGUAGCCAUAGAUGGCUUGAACUGAUGAUCGAGAAUGGUUAUGUAUAUAAAAAGGUGAAAGUUAGACAAAUUUCAAAAGCUUUGAUUGCUAGUUUCUGAUAAAUUUUCUUUCAAUCAUUUUUAUUUUUUUUCAUUCUUAGAUAAUGGGGUGCCGAUUUGCAAUAUACGUUAGGACAACGAUUAGAUGCAUUAUAGAAUAUACCAUCUUUUAAGUAAUGGUAUUAGAUACGGUAGGACAACGAUUAGAUGUAUUAUAGAAUAUACCAUCUCGUAAGUAAUAUGGUAUCUUUUUGAAGUCCUAAAAUGUUGAGGGAUAAAUUUGUGGGUAUUACAAUCUCGAGAUGUAGUUAAGAUCAACAAUAUCUAAAUAGGCAAUUAAAUAAACAAUGUCUAAAUAGACGAUUAAAUGAACCCUUUAGAAAGAGAGGCAAAAAUAAAAUGACAGAGUGAAGUUUCUUUAAAAAAACUUUUUAAAAAUUAUUGUUUUGAUAAUAACUGAUCGUAGUUAACUACUAGUGCUCAGUCUCUUUUUACAUCUUACUCAUGUUUGAAUCAAUUUUUAACUUAUCAUCAUGUUUGAAUCAAUUUUAGGGUUAAGUGAAUGUCAAGUGAAUGUAUUUUGUUCUUACAACAUAUGUGUUGAGUGAAUGUAUUUUGUUCAAACUCAAUUAAUUUAGGAAAAAUGUUUUAAAUAAAAAACUAUUUAAAACAUUUACAAAUAUUAAAAUUUAUAUGUUUAUUAGUAUUUUUGUUAAUUAAUUUUGAAAUUUUAGUCUGUUUUGUAAAUAUGGUUUAUUUUGCUAUUUUGAAAACAAUCCAUUUGAAUGUUGUUUUGUUUAAAUUAUUAGAAUUGUAUUAUUGGAUAAAUAGACAUUUUAAAAAAUAGCAAAAUAUUAAAACUAUUUAUACAAAAUUCCUCAAACUUUUCAUAUAUUUAAGUUUUUCUUUAAAAUUAUAUUUCAUAAAUAGUUUUUUUUUAUCCAUAACAAAUUUUCAUGAUAAAUGGUAAAGCAUAUUAAAUAUGUAAAUAGUUCAACUCAGUUAAUUGUAAUUUGGUCCAUAUCAUACUAAAAAAGUUAUAUGUAUGUUAUUUUAAAAGAGUUCAUAUCAUACAGUUUCUUAAAUUUUAGGUACCAAACUUAUAAGAUACAAAAAUCAAAGUUUAAAAAUAGAAAGUAAAUAUUUUGGCAUUCUAUUUCUAGAAAAAAAAACUCCUUAUAAUAAUUACUAGUAAAAAAAAAAGUUGGUUGAUUUUCAUUUUUUUUUUAAUCUCAACCUUUCAUGUUAAAACUUUAUAUAAAGAUUUUUUUUUAAAUGACAAAUUUAACAGUAAGAUUUUAUAUUAUAUCAAUUUGAUAAAUAUUGAUAGACAUUAAUAUGAUAAUAAAUAUGAUAGAUAUUCAUAUGUUUUUAUCUGACAAUAAUAGAAGUUUAUUUAGUUUAUCUCGUUAAUAAAAUCUAAAAUGUUUGUCUAUGAUGAAUAUUUUAGUUUAUUUUUGUAUUUUAAAAAAUAUCCCUCCAAAAAACGUAAUUUUUUUCCACUAAAAGUUAUUAAAAUUUAAUAACAAGAGUUGGUGAAUUGCUACAUUGUUAUUUCAUUUAUAUGUCAUUUACAUCCCAUUGUAAUUUACAGAUUUUUUUUUUCAAAUGGUAUGGGUAAGUAAUCAGUGCGGUUUAGUGUAAGGAUUAGUUAUAUUCAAAUUAUAGCAAACUAUCUUAAUUUGAAACUUAACGGCGUCAACGACAAGCAACGGCGUCAACGACAAGCAACGGCUACAUUUUUAGGUUUAUUUACUUCAUUCAACUCUCAAAACAAUCUCCGUCGCCAAUUUCUCUCUAGAAUUUUCUUCUUCCGCCUCCGUGCACAGCGUCGAAUCUCCAAACCCUAAUUUAUAAAUGCAAUUCCGAUCCACAAAUUCUUAUGCUACCUCGAUCUCCUCUUUGGGAGCUUCUAUUCCCUAAUCUUUGAUGUCUUGCUUCGUCUGCGGUUGAGGAUCUCGGAGGACCGGAGUCACGGGAGGUCGCUGAUUUGGAUGAAGCCAUGAGUCGAUUGAUGCUCCCUUUUUCAUCUCCUAAGAAGAAUUCCAAAUCCUUGGAUGUGGCUGAUGCUGCUCCUGCCUAUCAUUUUUCAUCCGCUUGAUUUCCUUCCCUUUCUGGUUCAGCUUAUUCUGCUCUCGAUAGGGUUUCCGAGGAUGCUAUCAAUCAGGUUGAUCAGUUCCUUCGUGAGGCUUUGCAUAACCCUCGGGAGCGUCUAUCAAGUAAGUUGUUUAUUUAGCUUUCCUUUAUUGUAGAUGGUCAAUGGUGUGAUUGGUUUCAGGAGUUGUCUAAUGUCAUGUUCUGUAGAGGGAGGAGAUAGUUAAAAGUUGCUAGCUACGGCCUUCUCGAAGGUGGGCUGGAAGUGGCUGGUUGCUUCCCGGAUUUGUAUAGGCUUUUAGUUUGUUCUAGUCUUUCGAAUGCCUCAUUUAAAUCAAUGGUAUUAGAAAUUUAGAAGUAUUAUUGCCAAAAACUACAUGGUGGAUUUCAUGAAGAUGUGAUAUAUGUUUGGAACAGUAUCGUGAAACUAUGUGACAUGAUGUGCUUUUAGGUAAUCCAAGACAAAGGUUGGAUGGUUGUAAGACAAUCUUGGGAAGAUGUGUGGACUAGUGGAGGGUUUUUGGUUAACCGUUUUUCUAGUCGGUACAGGGUGGUGGAUUCGAAGAAUUAAUUGCUGAAGGAGUUGUAGGACUUAAAAGCUGGGUUGCAAAAUGAAUGCAAGACGAAAUUUAGAAGAUGGAGAAGAAAGGGAGAUUUUGUUGCUAUUGGAUGUUCUGAAUACUUAGAGCUAAAUGAUGAAAAUAAAAUAAUUUACGAGCUAAACUUUUGCUGUGAUUGGCGAUGAAUUCCGUCAUGGGGGGAGGCAUGCAGUCUCUGAUUAUCAUCCCCUUGGCCCUUAGGCUUUUUAAAUGAGGCUUUUUCCGUCUUAAUAAUAUUUCUUGUUUCUCAUCAAGAAGAUAAAUGGAGUUGUAUCUUUUCAGCCUACCAAGCAAAAUUGUUUCUAAAAAAAAAACUAUCACUAUCUAAAAGCAUUAGGAAUUAAAUUUACUGUAGUCAAGAAGAUGCUCAGUAACUGGAAAGCAUUUUUUACCUGUUUUGACACUGAAGCUUCGUUAAACCAAAAGAAAAAGGAGACAACCUAUUGGUAGAAAGGUCUUUACAAUGAUGUAUUGAUGCCUACAAAAUUAUUUUUUUUGUCUAACAUGGUUCUGACUAGUACCAUAACUUCAAGUGCUUAAUUAUUAUCAUGCACUUAUUAUAUUGUUGAAAACAUGGUGUUAAUUAUCUAUUCCCUUCAACUGAUAUUUAUUUAUCAUUGCUUUAGUUUUGCGCAUGGAGCAAGAUGUUGAAAAGUUUAUUCAUGAUCCUGCUUGACAGCAGCUGCCUACUUCAUAUUUACGGUUAGCUGCGCAUCAGAUUGUCCAACAUUACUCGCUGCAAUCCAUGGUUCUAUUGGAUAAUAGUUUACCUGAUGGGUCUGGUUCCAAAAUUAUCGUUUGCGAUACUUCUGAAUGUCGUCUUCCAGCUAUCCGCCUUGCAGAUAUUCCUGUAAAUCUACCAGCAGAGGAAUAUAGUAGCAUAAAGGUUGCUAUUAAACAGAGGCCACAGAAGUGGUCCCAACUAGCAAGAGAUGCAAGUGCAAAUUCAUCAAAAACGAGGGAUUCCAAAAGUGUGGAAGAGAGGAAAGAGGAGUAUAAUAAAGCUAGUGCUCAAAUAUUUAACUCCAGCAGCAAUUCAGGCUGUCAUGCAAGUGAGAAAGUAGAUGCUGAUCCUAGACCACAGGAUAGUUAUCGUGGUUGUUUGAGUGCUGCAAAGGUUGAGGAAAGAUGAUUCUUGGAGUUCCUGAUAUAAAUUUUAGUAGGGGUUUGAUUGACUGUUCCACGAGUAGCAGUAGAAUAAAUAGAAGGUAGGACUGACAAGGAGCUGCCUAGUAGGCAGUACAAACCAAAUAGUAGGGUAGCCAUUCUUAGAGAUCGUGAGAUUGGCAGCAAGGACCCUGAUUAUGACAGGAGUUAUGAUAGGUAUGAAAUGCAAUCCUUUAUUCUCUUGGUUUGAUCUCAAUGUGUGUGUAUAUACAUAUAUAUUUGCAAAAUCUCUCGUUUAAAAGGUCUAUCCAAAAACAUGUUCUAAAAGUUUUCUCGCUUCAAACUCUGUUUAAGAACUCUUUCCAAAACACUUCUUGGACAUUUCUCUUUGUUUUUGUUGUUGUUUUUUUCUUUGAAAAAUAAGAUAUUUUACAAAACUUCUGAAAAACUGCAUGAGCAAGGAUGUUGGCCACACACAGGGCAAUGAGCAGCAAGGCAACAUGCACCAUGGUGCGCGGAAGAUGUUGUCUUGGUGCCAUCUUUGCACAUGCGGAAGCGAACUUUCAAAUGGCAUUUACAAAGCAUCGUGGAAAACACUUUUUUUUCUUCCUAUUUUCUUCUAGAAAGUCUUUCCAGAACAUAUGUAUAUAUAUGUGUGUGUAUAUACAUAUAUAUUUGCAAAAUCUCUCGUUUAAAAGGUUUAUACAAGAACAUGUUCUAAAAGUUUUCUCGCUUCAAAUUCUGUUUACGAACUUUUUCCAAAACACUUCUUGGACGUUUCUUUUUUUUUUGUUUUUGUUUUUUUCUUUGAAAAAUAAGAUAUUUUACAAAACUUUUGAAAAACUGCAUGAGCAAGGAUGUUGGCCACACACAGGGCAAUGAGCAGCAAGGCAACAUGCACCAUGGUGCGCGGAAGAUGUUGUCUUGGUGCCAUCAUUGCACAUGCGGAAGCGAACUUUCAAACGGCAUUUACAAAACAUUGUGGAAAACACUUUUUUUUCUUCCUAUUUUCUUCUAGAAAGUCUUUCCAGAACAUAUGUAUAUAUAUGUGUGUGUAUAUACAUAUAUAUUUGCAAAAUCUCUCGUUUAAAAGGUCUAUACAAGAACAUGUUCUAAAAGUUUUCUCGCUUCAAAUUCUGUUUACGAACUCUUUCCAACACACUUCUUGGACGUUUCUUUUUGUUUUUGUUUUUGUUUUUUUCUUUGAAAAAUAAGAUAUUUUACAAAACUUUUGAAAAACUGCAUGAGCAAGGAUGUUGGCCACACACAGGGCAAUGAGCAGCAAGGCAACAUGCACCAUGGUGCGCGGAAGAUGUUGUCUUGGUGCCAUCUUUGCACAUGCGGAAGCGACCUUUCAAAUGGCAUUUACAAAACAUUGUGGAAAACACUUUUUUUUCUUCCUAUUUUCUUCUAGAAAGUCUUUCCAGAACAUAUGUAUAUAUAUGUGUGUGUAUAUACAUAUAUAUUUGCAAAAUCUCUCGUUUAAAAGGUCUAUACAAGAACAUGUUCUAAAAGUUUUCUCGCUUCAAAUUCUGUUUACGAACUCUUUCCAAAACACUUCUUGGACGUUUCUCUUUGUUUUUGUUGUUGUUUUUUUCUUUGAAAAAUAAGAUAUUUUACAAAACUUCUGAAAAACUGCAUGAGCAAGGAUGUUGGCCACACACAGGGCAAUGAGCAGCAAGGCAACAUGCACCAUGGUGCGCGGAAGAUGUUGUCUUGGUGCCAUCUUUGCACAUGCGGAAGCGAACUUUCAAAUGGCAUUUGCAAAGCAUCGUGGAAAACACUUUUUUUUCUUCCUAUUUUCUUCUAGAAAGUCUUUCCAGAACAUAUGUAUAUAUAUGUGUGUGUAUAUACAUAUAUAUUUGCAAAAUCUCUCGUUUAAAAGGUUUAUACAAGAACAUGUUCUAAAAGUUUUCUCGCUUCAAAUUCUGUUUACGAACUCUUUCCAAAACACUUCUUGGACGUUUCUUUUUGUUUUUGUUUUUGUUUUUUUCUUUGAAAAAUAAGAUAUUUUACAAAACUUUUGAAAAACUGCAUGAGCAAGGAUGUUGGCCACACACAGGGCAAUGAGCAGCAAGGCAACAUGCACCAUGGUGCGCGGAAGAUGUUGUCUUGGUGCCAUCUUUGCACAUGCGGAAGCGAACUUUCAAAUGGCAUUUCAAAACAUUGUGGAAAACACUUUUUUUCUUCCUAUUUUCUUCUAGAAAGUCUUUCCAGAACAUAUGUAUAUAUAUGUGUGUGUAUAUACAUAUAUAUUUGCAAAAUCUCUCGUUUAAAAGGUCUAUACAAGAACAUGUUCUAAAAGUUUUCUCGCUUCAAAUUCUGUUUACGAACUCUUUCCAAAACACUUCUUGGACGUUUCUUUUUGUUUUUGUUUUUGUUUUUUUCUUUGAAAAAUAAGAUAUUUUACAAAACUUUUGAAAAACUGCAUGAGCAAGGAUGUUGGCCACACACAGGGCAAUGAGCAGCAAGGCAACAUGCACCAUGGUGCGCGGAAGAUGUUGUCUUGGUGCCAUCUUUGCACAUGCGGAAGCGAACUUUCAAAUGGCAUUUACAAAACAUUGUGGAAAACACUUUUUUUUUCUUCCUAUUUUCUUCUAAAAAACUCUUUCCAAAACACAUUUUCAAUUUAGAAAAAACACAUUCUCUCCAAUGUAGAUUUUGCAAAAUAAAUUCUGUGUAUAAAUAUUACUUGAGAGUGAAUUUUCACUUUUGUGUUUUUUCUAUAUCUUACAUUUAUCUCUUCAUGAUUAUUGGAUAUGUGCUGUAACUUUUCUCGUAUGUUUCCAUAUAAAUUACAAAUGUUGUAUAACAUUUAUCAAUGUAGAAAAAAUCUUAGGUGAUUAAAGGAAAGUUGAUUGUCCAGAAAUUACUUUUUCCUAUUUCAUCAUCAACCGACCUCAAGGCCUCCUAUGGUUGUUCUAUUUUUCAUUUUUAUUUUCUUGAAAUUAAGUCUAUAAACGCUCAUUCUACCUUUAGUUAUACGUUCUAAAAUUAUAUUAUAUUUUAGUUUGACUUCUUGUAUAUUAUUAUUUUGGUACAUUUCUACCAUUUCUACAUUUUAUUUGCACAUAAUUAUAUGUUCUUUUUAUAAUGAUAGAUAACUUCUUUGUUACAAUGUCAGUUAUUUGACAAUCAUUCAUUUCUAGUUCUGAUUAAUUUUUCUUUGUUAUCACGGGGCACUUUACAGGUAUUUUUAUUUUACUUCUUUUGAUGGAUUUAUUUUUCUUUAGUUUUUCUUCCAACAUUUUCUCUCUCAUCUUUUUCUACUUUUCUUAAGUAUAUUAUUAAAUUUUAUAUCUCUGGAGUCUUGGUAGAAGUUAUUUAUUUUUGCGGUAGGGUGAUUUCUCUUUUUUGCCCAUUCUGUUUUCUUGGUUCUCUUUCUUUUUUUAUACAAUGGUAACUGAAACAUUCAAAGCCUUGCUUUCGGCUUCCCUAGCUAGCCACAGUGAUGUAUUAUAUGCAAAUGGCAGUUUUCCUUUGGACACUGAGAAAAGGCAAAUGCAAAUGGCAACUGCACGGUACACCUUACAGGACAGUUUUUGAUGCUUUUGCAGGUAAUUUGUAUUAGUUGUGUUAUGUCUGGAAGUGAUUUUAUAUUAUUAUAGUUGUACUAGAUGUUCUAUCCUUGGGACGCAGAGAAAAGGCAAAUGCAAAUGAAGAGUACACACUGUCCUGGAUGAUACUUUGCAGGUAAUUUGUAUUAGUUGUUAUGUCUGGAAGCGAUUUUAUAUUAUCAUAGUUUGUUGUUAGUUGUUAUAAGUAAUUCUGAAGUCUGACAAUGAUUAUUUAGAGUGAAAUCUGGGCAGGUUUGUUGGAGACAAACCGUCUGACAUACAUGAUUUAUGUUCUUUGUAGUUCUGUGCUCAUUGCCUAUGUGAGUAUAGUCUACUUUCUUGUCCUCACAAUCUUUUCCCAACCUUUUCAUGUCUUUCAUAUUUUGAACUGCAUUCAUGGUUUUCGUAUAACUAUAAUAGACGCUCUUAUUCUUUUACUGUGAAACCACUUUUAGUUAUCUAUUUGCAAUAUGCUGUAUGUUCUAUUAGACAGCUACUUGUAGGAGUAUAGAUGAUGAAAUAAACAGAUUUAUUUUGUUAGACGAAAUCUAGUUGAGGAAUUUGACGUUUUUCUUCCUUUAUGUAAAAUCCUAAUAUUAGAAAACUAAGCAAAAGCAGAAAUAGUUUGCAGAGCUGUAGCUUAGGAAUUAUUUUCCUCAAUUUGACUUGAUGUUUGACGCAGGUAUAUGGAUGGGUGAUGGAUAUAUUGCUUUUGAGUGAUUUUUCACUUUUGUAUUCAUUUCUCUUUACCAUUACGGGAUCUGUCUUAUAACCUUUCUCAUGAUUUUCUACGUGAAUUGCAAUUGUUGUAUAAUAUUUUAUCAUAUUAGAAAGAUAUGAGGUGAUUAAAGAAAAAUUGAUUGUCCGGAAAUCAAUUUUUCUUAUUACACCUCAUGUCAAUGCCCAAAUUCCAUAACCAUUUGGUUAUUGUUAUCUUAAAAUUUUGAAAAUUGAGUCUAUAAACACUCAUUCUACUAGAAUUAUAUCAUAUUCUUUAGUUUGAUAUCUUGUAUAUUAUUAUUUUGGUACAUUUCUUUUGUCUUAUUCGCACCAAAUACCACGUUUCUUUGUUUGUUUGCAUGCGGUGCUUUCAAGGUAUUUUUCCUUUACCUCUGUUGACAAAAAAAUAUUUUGUGUACUUCUUCUUGGUACAUUUUCCUUUUCUUCUCAUCAUUUGCUACUUUAUUUUAAAGUAGAUUAUGAAAUUUUAUUUAUUUAUUUUUGGUGGAUGAAUUUUUGUUUUUUGUUUUUGUUUUUUUUUUGCCAUUUAUGAUCUCUUGUUGGUUCUUUUUCUUUUUUGAUGUUAGUUUUUUUAGUUUUGGAUUUGAAUUGAUAUUUACUCCUUUUGAAUGUGGUCUUUUAUGAGAAGGUAAAAAAAUUUAUCUUACUUUUUAAUGCCAUUCAUUGUAAUUUUAUUUUUGGUAUCUUUUUUUUUUACUUCACUUGUGUAAUUUAUUUUUCUUGGAUGGUGAAAUUUUUUUCACCAUUUAGCUGUGUUUAGUUUCUUUUUAUGUUACAUUCUUAUUUUGUUUGCUUUCUCUAGUUUUAUUUUGUUUUUUUUUUCAAUUAUUUGUAAUUUGUUUUACCAUUUUUAUAAUAUUAUUUUCUUUAGGUCUAUUAUUAUCAGAUAUAUAUUUUGUGGUCAUGGUAGAUUUUUUCAUUAAGGAUAUUUUUUUAAAUUGCAAAAUAAAUUAAAAUAUUUAGUCUAUUGUAAAAUUUUGAAUUCUAUCAACGAUAAAAAUGAUAGACAUUUAUCACUGUCUGUUAUUGUUUAUUAUUGAUAGAAUCUAAAAUUUUGCUAUAUGUUGUAAAUAUUUUGUCAAAUUUGUCAUUUUUGACAUUUUCACUUUUCAUUAUCGUCAUGGAUUCUCUUUUUUCACACUUCGUCUCUUUUCUUUUAUUUAACCUUUCUUUAUGAAAUGUUGUAUCUUUCUGCUUUUCUCUCAAGUGAAAUAUUAGAUUUGGUACUUUUUCUUUUACUCAUUUGGUACAUUUCUUGUUGAACCAAGGUAUAAUUUGUUCUUCUUUGAUGGUUCAAAAUAAUCACUCUACGUUUGACUUUGGUUCUUUUAUUAUCUGGCACAACUUUUAUAUAUAGUUAUUUUCUUUGGUAAAUUUAUUAUAUUAUUAGAUAUAUUAAUUUGUUAGUUUUGUGUACUAUCCAAGGCAGUAAAGAAGUGUAGAAUGACAACUCCUUUCUAUUUUCUAAUUCACUUUUACAAAUAUUAGUUUUAGUAGUUUUUUAUUUUACUCAUUUGGUCAUAUAUUUCUUUUCUUUUGGAAUGGAUGUGUAAUUUUAUUUUUGUUGGAUGGUUUGAAAUAUUUAGGUUCAUGUUGUCAUUCUUCUAGUUUUAUUUUUGAAUAAUUAUAAUUUGUGACAAUUUUUAGAAUAAUGACUAAGUGUAGUAAUUAGAGGUUUAAGAAUAACUUGGGUAAUCCAACAACUUGGAUUAUCCAAUCCAUAUUAUAUGGGUUGGGUUGGGUUAGGUUAAAAUAUGGAUUGGAUUGGGUUGGGUUGAAAAAAAUGAAUUUUUUUUAGUUGGGUUUAGUCUCGGGUUGUAAGGUUGAAAAAUUCGAUCAUAUAUAUAUAUAUAUAUAUAAAUAUUCCUCUCUUCUCACUCUCAAUCCUCCUUUGCGCGUCGCAUCCCUUUUAUUCUCACAUCUCCUACGUCUUCGACAUCUCCUUCGUCUCUUACUUUCCUUCAUCUCUGACUCUCCUUGUCCUACUUAUCCCGCGCAUUCCUUAUAUUAUCACAUCUCCUCCGUCUUCGACAUCUUCAUUUCUAACUCUCCUCUAUCUUUGAUCUUCACAGUUCAUCUCGUUAGAUCUCAGAUCUCAUAUACUCGCAGUUCGACGUCAUGUUCUUCUUUGUCAAUCUCUUCAGCUUCUGAAUAACCCGACAAUCCAAUUUAUAUUUUAUGGGUUGGUUUAGAAACUUGAUUUAACCCAAAUAACCUAAAAGUAUGGGUUUGGUUGAGAUGUUUCUCAACCCAACCUUACUACACCCUUAACAGCAACUUUUUUAAAAAUUGCAGAUAUAGCAAAAUUCUUUAGUGAUAAACUUCUAUCGCUCAUAGAUUAUUAUGGUCUAUCAUGAUUGAUUUUGACAGAUUUUGCUUUAUUUGUAAAUUUUUUAAAAUGUUGCUAUAUAUUUAAUUAUUUUAAAUUUAAUUACUAUAUUUGCAACUAUUCUUUUAUUUUGUGUGGUUCUUCUAUUAUUUGGUACACUUUAUAUAUUAUUAUUUUCUUUGGUUUUAUUAUAUUAUGAGAUAUAUUCUGUUAAUUUUGUGCAAAAUACUCUACACAUAUUUUACUUGCUAUAUGUUUCUUUUCUUUGAUUCUUCCAUUUAUCUUUUAAUUCUCUUUUGAAUAUUUAUUUUCUUGAAAAUCUUGGAUUGUAUUUUGUGGAUUUUUUUUCUUAACGUGCACUUCAUCUUUUGAGGUCAAAUGUUUAAUCUAUCAUUUGAUUUAUGUAUCAUGGUCUUAUUUAAGAACGGAAGAGUUCACUACAUGCGAAAAAUCAAGACUCUGUUUACGAACUCUUUCCAAAACACUUCUUGGACGUUUCUUUUUGUUUUUGUUUUUGUUUUUUUCUUUGAAAAAUAAGAUAUUUUACAAAACUUUUGAAAAACUGCAUGAGCAAGGAUGUUGGCCACACACAGGGCAAUGAGCAGCAAGGCAACAUGCACCAUGGUGCGCGGAAGAUGUUGUCUUGGUGCCAUCUUUGCACAUGCGGAAGCGAACUUUCAAAUGGCAUUUACAAAACAUUGGGAAAACACUUUUUUUUCUUCCUAUUUUCUUCUAGAAAGUCUUUCCAGAACAUAUGUAUAUAUAUGUGUGUGUAUAUACAUAUAUAUUUGCAAAAUCUCUCGUUUAAAAGGUCUAUACAAGAACAUGUUCUAAAAGUUUUCUCGCUUCAAAUUCUGUUUACGAACUCUUUCCAAAACACUUCUUGGACGUUUCUUUUUGUUUUUGUUUUUGUUUUUUCUUUGAAAAAUAAGAUAUUUUACAAAACUUUUGAAAAACUGCAUGAGCAAGGAUGUUGGCCACACACACGGCAAUGAGCAGCAAGGCAACAUGGCCACACACUCGUUAGUUGUGAGCUCAACUGGGAUUGAGAGUACAAUUGUCCCGCAUAUCAUUCAUUCCAUUAGCUAAUCGCUUCUGUUGCGAUCCUUGGUGGUUCAACCCAUUUGUUCUUUCAUAUCAAUCGUAGUACAACCCAAUCGCUCUUAAGUUGACUUCUCAUACUUAUAGAUUAUGAUUCUCAAUUAUUUGGCUAAGAUAACUUCCAUCGUUGAGCCUCCCUCUACUGAUUCCAAUCACAUUUCUUAACUUUGUUUUCUCUCAUUAUUUGUUGUCAUUUGCUCAACAAGUAUUUAUAUAAAUCAUCCCAAAUCAACUCCCACUUUUCAGAUUUCCAUGGAUAUAAAAAGAAAUGGUGGCUCAUCAUUCGUACCAUUUCUUUUGUUGAUGGGCAUGAAUUACGGGUCAUUAUGAACUCACCAACAAGCAACCAACCAUUUUGACUCCUUGUUAGUACUUAAAAGUUAACAACUUUAAUCAUCUUCUACUAGAUAAAAUAAGUUGUGUUUUCAAAGUUCAUGUGUAAAGCAAAAGAGAUUGUCUUAUAGUGACUUUAACAUAGAUUACACUCCCAUUGUGAAAUAAUAUAUAACUAUAUUUAUAUCAACUAUAUAUUACAUAUAUAACAAAACCCUAAAAUAAAGUUAAGUUGUCCAAAAUAACAAACUAGCGUCCUCCUUGAAAAAUUAUAAAAAUUUCAAGUUAGAUUGUCUUGGAUUUUAGGAUGUAUUAAGGCUAUCUCCAUGUAUUAGAGAAUAUAAGAAAUUCUAUUUAACAAUUUAAAAAAUUAUAAGAUUUUUUUGUAGCCUUAUCCUUGCAAUUGAAGUAGGAGAUUAAAUCCGAAACUCUUGUCGAAAUUGGGCAAGCAUGCUAGCCUGAAAAGAUUGGUUCCGUCGGAAAACAAGAGGGGUUGGUCAAUAUCGGUUUCAGAAAGUUUCAAAUUGAAAACUUUAAAAAAUUAUUUAUAAGUCGAUCAACCCAAUUAAUAUCAACUGACACUUACUCAUCAAUGUCGAUUUUGUAAAAAAUACCAUCUCCGACCGACCGAUUAACACCGAAGUCGGGAACUUACGCAUACUAGAUAAGUGUAGAGUAUAUAUAUCUUUUUCAAAUUUGAUUAAAUUACCAAAUAUUAUAUCCAAUUCUCUCUCUACCCUUUUUUUAUCUGCGUUCCCGCCCGCCGUCGGUGAACUCAUUUGCGCAGCUCUUUCCUCUUUCUCUUCUUUGUCUUCCUCUCGGCUUCACAAUCUUCAUCGUCAAUCUUUGAUCCAGCCUAAGAAGGCGCUGUACAUUAUAGGGUUUUAAGUAGAAGGUGAGUUUUCAGAUUGCUUUUAUAUCUUCUGUCAAGCUAUGAUGCUUUUGGUACUUAUCGACCACUUUCUCAUGCAAGAAUAUUUGAGUUUGAGAAUUAUUUGCUGAAAUUUUUAUGGGUUUAUGGAGUAUUUUCUACUUUGUUUUGGCGGAGUUGAGUUUGCUUCUUAGGUGUAGAGAAGUUUGUUCAGUGUUGUUUUUGUUUUUGAGGCUACAACUCAAUGAAAAAACUCAUUGUGUUCAUGGAAUUAGGGUUUUAUCUUGUUUAAUGGGGAACAGGCAUGUUUGGUAUUGAUUUUGUGCAUUGUACUGGUAGUCGAGAUCGCAUUGCCAUCUUACAGUUGCUUAUUCUUUUUUUUCUUAUUUUCUUGAUAGUUAUUAGACAAUUGAAACCUCAUAAUUCAACCAAAAUGGCGGCCUUCAAUCUCGUUGCGGAUAUGUAUGACCCGGCCUUGAAGCCUCGCUUGCUACAUAAACUUCUUAGGGAGCACGUUCCCGACGAUAAGCGUGCAUUUUCUGAUUAUUCAGAACUUUCAAAUGUGGUUUCUAUGAUCACAUCCCACGAUCUUCUCUCUGAAUCCUCGUCUUCCAAGGACCAAAAGCUGAUUGAUAGCUGGAAAUCCGCUGUUGAUUCCUGGGUCAACCGUUUGUUUCUUCUUCUCUCCAACGAUAUGGUAUAAGCAUGCAUUAAAUUCUAUUUAAAUAAUUUUUUUAAUAAUACAUAGCUUUUGCUUUAUACUCCCGUGGAUUUGACUAUUUGUCGGCUGCCGGGCUUAUGUGUAGCUUGUUCGAAGAACAGCUGGAACGAAGUUCAGUGGAACUUGUUAAGUUUCAUAAUCAAUGAGUUCGCUGCUGGUUAUUGAGAGAAAAUUUAUAGUUAGUGUUAAUCUAGAAAGUUUGUCGCCUUAGAGCGCCCUUUGCGCUUUGAAAACACCGUUUAAUUCUUAGAAACUGAACAUUUGAACCUUGCUUGCAUAUUUGGCAAUUCAUUGGCAUGCAGGAAGAUAGGGAAUAAUAUUGACUGUCUUUAUUACUUUGUUUUUUAGAUAUUGCUCAACUUCCUUUUGUGGGUUACUAAUUUUAGCAUCCAAUCUUUCUAAAGCCUGAUAAAUGUUGGGCGGGAAUCAUUUUACUUGGAGUGACUUGUCAACGAUGCAGCUCUAGUCGUUUCUUGGCAUCAUAUACAGAAUGGCUUCACAAGCUUUUACCACAUGCAGGUAACAGUUAGUUUUUUAUGGGAUUGAUUCUAUAUUAUUUCUUUACAUGUAUUAAGUGGCAAAAAUGUUAAAUUAUAGUGUACACAUGAAGAAGAAUAAGAGUUAAAUGAUAAGUUAUUCCAUCAGAACUAAGAUACCGGUUACUGUUUGGGACACAUAACUGCAAUAAUUCAACUAUGCUUUUGAGCAUGUGAUGUGGCUGGAUCGUCUUUGACAGUCGACCUGUUUGACUACAGUAAAUAUGUUUGUUCUGAAAUUUGGGUAUGAUUGGUUGUAAGAUAUUCAUCAAAAUGAGUUCUGGACAUUAUUUGUGACAAUAAGUGAUUAUUGUUUCUUGGAAAGAAUGCAAACACGCAUUGGGGGUUUCCAAGCUCUUAUUCUUUUCAUUAAUAUAGGGAUUGAACAAGUAAGAUAAACUACGGAUGAAAUAGCAGGUCUAACCAGCUCUCCUCGUACAUGAGGUCCCCAAAGACAUGCAUCGGGCAUGUAUCUGAUUAGCAUAAGAUAGCCUUUGGCAACACUUAAUGAUUGUGGAGCUACUGAAGGACCUAAUGCACUGCUAUUCUUGAGCAUGGUUAUCUGAUAUUUUAUCAAGUGUUAUACAAAGUGCAAUUUUUUUUUCUUCUGAAGACACAAAAGAAUAUAUUGAUCACAAAUAGUGUGUGACGUAGUUCCAGAGC
rnacentral:lncRNA from 1 species